UGAUGGACGAUCGUGCUCUUUGGAAGGAGCCUCAGCGACACCUCUGCAAAGCCUUGCAGUGCACCUGCUGAGAUGAAGCUGGCACCAGGCCACACAUACUGACCUGACCUUUCCCAUCCACAUUCAGUCAGCCCACAGAACAGAGCUGCUGCAGAAGUCCUUUUCCAGCCAGCAUGCCCACAUUGUGGCCUUUGCCACAGAACCAAAGUCUCUGUGGAAAGAACAGUCAUCCUUGUUCAUGCUUUUGGAGAUGCUUCUUAAAUAUCUGUCAAAACCGAAUUGCUCAGCAUGAACAUGUGCAUUCUGACUCUAUUUGUAUGAAAGCACAGCAAAGUGCAGAUGACACACCUCCACACUGAGGCCCGGUGCAGGACGGGGUCAUGCUUUUCAGCCAGAUUCUUUCUAGGUCACCAGUACCUUGAAUGAAGAUGUCAGUAUCCUGCAUCUGUUCUCGUAUCUUGCCAGAUGUCUCAAGGUGAGAUAAGAGGAUUCAUGCAGCGAAGGGAAAAAAUUUAUCUGUACUGUGUUUUUUUGUGAGUCAGCUAAAAAUAAAUAGAUAAAUCAGGCCUCCCUUGGCA
rnacentral:lncRNA from 1 species